GAUCCAAAAUCUGUGCAGAUACAGAAUUUUGGUUAAAAAAGUACUUACCCAGAAUAAACAAAGUCUUGCUGCAGAAUCUCACUGUAUAGAUUGUAAGGAUCUAGUUAUUUAAGAAUUUGCUUUCAGAAUCACAAAAUUGUGAAUAAUCAGUUGAAUCUGGGCAGAUACUUCUUUUGAAGCCAAGCCCCAUUGAUGCAAAAAAUAUUUGGAACUGAUAUCUUUCAGGGUUUAAGGGUGUCUGCUGACUGAAGAGUAUUAUUAUUAUAGAAAUAUAAUGGUUGUUCUCUGUUGUAAUAGCCAUUCAUUACAUUGUUUCAAUAAUUCCCAAUUUUAUUAUAGAGUAUCAGAACAUUAACACUUAUCUCACUUUGUCUUUGCUGUAAUAAGCCUGGAAUUAGAGCAAGUCUUAAAUUGUUCUUAUGCUUUGUUUUUAUUUCAGUUCUGUGAUCUGUUGUGCAUCUUGCCACUAAUUUGGAUUAAAAAAAAAAAAAAAAAAAAAAAAAAGCAAGGGAAGCAUCUUACACAGUGAGAGAAUCCAUUCUUGAUGAGACCCUGUUUCAGUCAAAAUCUGAAGCCUCUCCUCCUGUCUAAACAAACAGAUCUAAAUCUGCUGAGCCAUGCAGAAAGAACACAAAGAUGUAUCUUCAUCCUGUCUGAAAUCCAUGCAAUGGCAAGGUGACAGUAAAUGAAGACUGCCAUGAAGACAUUAUUUCCUGGAUAUGUGCCUCUUCCUUCAGAAGCACAGAAGCUGUGCUGAAGCUGCUUUUCUCUCCUGCUUGCACAUUCACAUCCUCCCAUGCACAUGCUUUGCUACAGCCAGUUCUAUUUAGAUAGACUUUGGCAUAGUCAUAUAUCAAAUUGAACCAUAAUAAAACCAGAAACCAGAAUUUUAAUUAUCAUGUGAGUGAGCAUGUUGUAUAUAAUAGAUAUUAAAUAUAAUAAUUAGCAAAAAGUGAGAGUAGAAUUUUAUGGUGUUUUGUUAGUUUUUCUGCUAACAUAAACAUUCUGAAUUUUGAAGAUCAGAAUGUGUUAUUAUGAUGCAUCAGUCUGAUUUUAUGUAUUGUGCAGGGUGUAUAAUGUUGAAGUCAAUGCAGUCUUCACAGAAACAAUGUACAGUUUUAAUUCUACAUGUCCUUAUCUGUUGCAUAUCAUCAUAAUAGUGAAAGCAAAUGACUUUCACCUACGCAGACAAAAUCCACUUAUUCCCUUAGUAUAAUUUGUGCUUUGGAUUUUAUUUUAUUUUAUUUUAUUUAUUUUACAUUCUGUAUGAAGUACACAACUUU